rnacentral:tRNA from 1 species
GAGGCUCAUAGGUUGCAUUUAGAUUUCUAAUCUUACUGUAAGCGGUUCGACUCCGUUUGUGUCUCU